AUUUAUGUAGUAUAACCAUUAUAUCUGACUUCCAAUCAGAAGAUCUAGAAGCUAGCAUAAAUA
rnacentral:tRNA from 1 species